rnacentral:rRNA from 1 species
GAGCGGUAACAGGAGAAAGCUUGCUUUCUUGCUGACGAGCGGCGGACGGGUGAGUAAUGUAUGGGGAUCUGCCCGAUAGAGGGGGAUAACUACUGGAAACGGUAGCUAAUACCGCAUGACGUCUACGGACCAAAGCAGGGGCUCUUCGGACCUUGCGCUAUCGGAUGAACCCAUAUGGGAUUAGCUAGUAGGUGAGGUAAUGGCUCACCUAGGCGACGAUCUCUAGCUGGUCUGAGAGGAUGAUCAGCCACACUGGGACUGAGACACGGCCCAGACUC